rnacentral:rRNA from 1 species
UACGUAGGGUGCAAGCGUUAAUCGGAAUUAUUGGGCGUAAAGAGCUCGUAGGCGGUCUGUUACGUCCGCUGUGAAAACCCAGGGCUUAACCCUGGGCUUGCAGUGGAUACGGGUAGACUAGAGGCAGGUAGGGGAGAAUGGAAUUCCCGGUGUAGCGGUGAAAUGCGCAGAUAUCGGGAGGAACACCGGUGGCGAAGGCGGGUCUCUGGGCAGUAACUGACGCUGAGGAGCGAAAGCGUGGGGAGCGAACAGG